UGUCUUCAGCACUGUUGGGAAUUACUACUGGCAUGUUUUGACUCAUUAUCUUGAAUCUUAAUCAGCUGAUGAAAAAAAAAAAGUUGGUUUCAUCAGCUGAUGAAGGCUCAGGGUAAUGAGUCAAAACAUCCCGAUAGGGCUUCUUGGCAGCCAGACUGGAGCACCCCACCUGCCGGGGCUGUCUCUGGGUGCUGCCCAACGAGUGAUGCACCCCGUGUCUGUGUUUACCUGAUGCAACAACCACGACGUGGCCCGAGAAGGGUUGGCGGAACGUGAGCUCUAUCGUCUCCCAGGAGGAUGAGUUGAGCUCGUGUGAUCCUCUCUGUGUGGCCGUAAACACACACGCAGCAUGAAACGCACCGCCAGGGGCCCCACCGAGUAGCUCCAGGGUUCUUUCAUCUUCCCAAACUGAAAUUCUACCCCACGAGACACUAACUCCUCACCUUUCCCAGCCCCCAGCCCCUGGCAACCGCUUUCUGCUUCCUAUUAGUCCAAACCCCUCACAUAAGUGGAAUCAUGCCCUGUUUGUCCGGAUUUUUUUUUGGUCUGGCUUCUUUCGCUUAGCCCAACGUCCUCGAGGUCGGUCCGUGUUAUAGCCUGUGUCAGGAUUUCUUUCAAAAGGCUGAAAAAUUUGGUGAUGGAAAACCAACUGGUAACUUCGGUUUUCAAGGAAAAUGAGAAGGAGCAUCAUCUUCAAAAAAAGACUCUUGUAGUGUGUUGUUCUUCAUGCUCCUGCCUAAACAGAUCCCAAAGAAGCUCUGACUUGGCCUUUGCUUCUGGAACGGCUUGCAGGUGUUAGGAUCCACAUACAAACACACCGUGCCAUGCACCUGCUGUAAUGCCUCAGCUAAGGAAGCUGCUCCCAGAUGUUCAAACAAUGGAAAUAAGAAAGAGAUAAAUCUCAAGCAGUCAUACAUAAAAUACUGAACAGGUAGAGAUGAGUACAAAAUUGUGGGCAUCAAACAGUGAAAGGCUUUGCAAGUAUUAACAUGAAAAUGAAUGUUGGUGCAAGAAGUUGAAUUUAAAAUCAAU